CAAUAGCGUAUAUUAAUGUUGUUGCAGUUAAAAAGCUCGUAGUUGGAUUUCUGGUGGGAGUGGCCGGUCCGCCGUAAGGUGUGUACUUGGUUGUCUCCCGUCAUCCUUGUGGGAACUGCUCUGGCAUUAAGUUGGUCGGGGUUAGGGAACACAUCGUUUUACUAGUGAAAAAAUUAGAGUGUUUAAAGCAGGCUUAUGCCGUUGAAUACAUUAGCAUGGAAUAAUAAGAUAGGACUUUGGCGUUCUAUUUUGUUGGUUUUGCACACCAAGGUAAUGAUUAAUAGGGAUAGUUGGGGGUAUUCGGUAUUUAAUUGUCAGAGGUGAAAUUCUUGGAUUUAUGAAAGACGAACUUCUGCGAAAGCAUUUACC
rnacentral:rRNA from 1 species